GACGAACGCUGGCGGCGUGCUUAACACAUGCAAGUCGAACGGAAAGGCUCCAGCUUGCUGGAGUACUCGAGUGGCGAACGGGUGAGUAACACGUGGGUAAUCUGCCCUGCACUCUGGGAUAAGCCUGGGAAACUGGGUCUAAUACUGGAUAUGACCUUUCUCCUUAUGGGGUUUGGUGGAAAGUUUUUCGGUGUAGGAUGAGCCCGCGGCCUAUCAGCUUGUUGGUGGGGUGAUGGCCUACCAAGGCGACGACGGGUAGCCGGCCUGAGAGGGUGAUCGGCCACAUUGGGACUGAGAUACGGCCCAGACUCCUACGGGAGGCAGCAGUGGGGAAUAUUGCACAAUGGGCGGAAGCCUGAUGCAGCGACGCCGCGUGAGGGAUGGCGGCCUUCGGGUUGUAAACCUCUUUCAGCAGGGACGAAGCGUAAGUGACGGUACCUGCAGAAGAAGCACCGGCUAACUAUGUG
rnacentral:rRNA from 1 species